rnacentral:tRNA from 1 species
UCCCUGGUGGCUCAGCUGGUAAAGAACCUGCCUGCAAUGCAGGAGACCUGGGUUCGAUCCCUAGGUUCGGAA